GCUUCGGGGAAGCCGCUCGGGUGAGAGAUGGACCCAGAGGGGACACACCACAGCAAUGCCGAACUAAAAGCAGUCAGAAAGGCAAUGAACAGGCCAAAUAACAGACCAAGCAACCAAAUAGGUGCAAAAUAACACUUAAAAACAUCACAACAAGCAGAGUCUAACAGAGCACAAUAAAGUGGUACUUAACUGGUCUAAGAGCAGCAAAGAAAGAGGGGGAUUGUGGGUGCCUCAAGCCUGUUAUAGUCACUUCCUGUGUUAGGUGAUUGGUUGCUUGGGCACUGUACUGGUUUUUGUUUUUGUUAAUUUCAGGUAUUUAUUCAUCUCUAUUUCUUUGCUGCUGAGAGUAAUAAAGAAAGAGAUAUGCAUAAUAGGAGCCUCCGUGUCUUUAAUAAAAUUCAGAGCAAAGGGAUAGUGUGUCUACUACUACUUUUGCAUGCUAUUCCUACUCUAAUAAACAAUUGGAGGACUUACAUGCAUUUUGUAAAUACUGCUCAUUUUUUUUGGUUAAAGAACUAACAAAAAUGCAAUGUACUUGAGAAAAAGCACUGCAACACUUUUCAUGGAUAUUGUGGAGAAGCCACCUAAACGUAAAUCUCUCUCUAUUAUUUUUCUUUUUACGCAAAAAAACACUUGCAGAAAAAAAUGUUUUUCAACAUUCUGCAUUUUAAUCCUGCUCUGUCCCAACUUCCCCAGUCUACAAUUCUCCCAUUUUGCAGAUUAUUCAACUGGCAUGCAUGAAGUCACGGUUCCUCAUCUGUGCCUCCAAUCAUGCAGCGUUUCUCCAAUAACGCAGUCAUAUUAUGAAGCACAGCAAACGUUUCUAGAAGUUGUAGUCCAGACAACAACAUUUACAAAUAAAAAGCCAAAAACGGAACUACAACUUCCAGAAGCCUGCCACGCAGGAUUUAUACAAUAUUGUCAACAGACAUAGGAAGUUAUUGGGGCAUACUGGCUGAGCACUUCCUUGUCUUAGUAUACCCAACCUCUGGAAAGCCAAAGUUUUUAAACUUAUUGCAAAUUCAGCAACUUCAGAGUUUGUUUUUUUGGGGGGUUUUGGUUCUUUUUGCAUAUGUUUUAAAUGGUGUUCUCCACGCAGAUGUAUUAAAAAUAAGGGGGAAAUGCCCCUUUAAAAAUUGUAAAGGCUUUUUGUUGUCAACAUGUAUCUAAACGUAUGAUGUUAAACAUUAAAAACAACGAUUGCUACAGAAAUCUGUAUUAUCCGAAC